UAAAAACCCCUGUCCUAGCCUACUCGGUGUGCUCUUGCGAUUGCAUCAGAUGCAAGCAGCACCCUUCCGCAGAAGUAAAGUUGCCUUGCUGAAGAAUUUUUGGUCUAAGUGCUGGCUCUUCUUUGUGGACCAAACACCUGUCUCCAACAAUCUGGGGGCUUGUCUGGGAUUCCAUUAUCCUCCAGGGAAGGGUCUCCGAUCAUCUCUCAUGAGGAGACACAUCCUGCUGCCUUGUCACAGUUGCCUCAGGAGUAAGGGAUCGAGACCCAUCUGGCAUGACGAAUAAACCCGGACUCUCAGCAAUGCAGAGAAAGAAAAAGUCUACAAAUAAAUACAGUGGCAACCAGGUAACUCUGAGCACAGACCAAGGACUCAAGGCCUCCUAGCACAAACUCCACCCCUUGAAUUCCCAGUUCACCAACACCAACCCAGAGAUCACGUCCUUAUCAAAAGCUGGAAAUAGGGAAAGCUCGAACCCACCUGGGAAGGACCUUAUUUGGUGCUCCUAAUGACUGAGACGGCAGUCCAGACCGCUGAAAAGUGGUGGACCCAUUAUACCAGAGUCAAAAAAGCAUUGCCCUCUCCAGAAUCAUGGACUGUCACUCCAGGAACAACAGCCUCAAAAUCAACAUUCAAGUGGGUUUAAUCUAUCUUUUUCUUCUCUCCUUAGCUACUCAAGGAUAUCUUAUUAUCAGUGUAACUCAAUCACCCUUUCCCCAAACAGUUACAUUUGAUGCUUGUCUAGUCUUACCUUGUGGAGAUCUUCAAAGUCAAAGGCAGCUAGCCUCUGCAGAAAAAUACCCCUGUCCCUCCAAGGAAAACACUACUACUACUGUGUCUUGUGUGUGGUGGGAAUCUUCAGAGGAAGAGUCAGGUAAUUGGGAGUUAUGUUCACAGUGGGCAGACGUUCUAUGGACUACUAAAAAUCAGGGUUGGACCUCCUGACAGGGUUGCACUGCCCUAAAGCCACACCUACACUUCACCAAAGGGACUACCCCCUCUAAUUGCCAAUCUAACCAUUGCAACCCAGUACUUAUCUCUAUUAAUACCCUUACCUUCACCAUUCCCACACCCACUGUAGAGCGAUUUUAUGGCUAAGGGGCAGAUGUUGCUGGAAGGGACCCUAUAGGCUUCUUUAAAUUAUGCUUUGUUCCUUCCCCUUCGUCUCCCACCCCCUCCUCGAUCCCACAAAUUCAAACCAUUUCCCACCUCAUACCCAACGACAAAACCAAAGUAUCGUAAUAGAAAUCAAAAAUUUAAAGCAAACUUUAGCCAUUGAAAUAGGGUACCAAGAUGCAAAUGCCUGGCUGGAAUGGAUUAAAUAUUCUGUCCACACACUACACAAAAGCGAUUUUUAUGCUUGUGCGACAGGCAGGCCAGAAACCCAAAUUGUCCCCUUUCCUCUGACCAACCGGGCAUGGACUGUAUGUAUGGUAGCCCUCUUCCAAAACCCCACAGCCUGGGGCAAUAAGGCAUGUCUAACCCUCUCCCUACUAUUCCCAGAAGUUAAAAGCCCUGCAGGUCUGCCCCUGAGGGCCAUUCGGACUCCGGCUACAAAUGUCAAUUUCACCUCGUGUCUCUCAUGGCAUGGGGAAAACUUGGCAUUCCUUAGGAGCUUAACAGGGUGCAGCACACCUAAGCCUUUUCAAGAGCUAACCAAUCAGUCUGCCCUUGUUCAUCCCUAAGCAGAUGUAUGGUGGUAUUGCGGUGGACCACUAUUGGGUACUCUGCCAAGUAACUGGAGCAGCACUUGUGCUCUAAUCAAAUUGGCCAUCCCUUUCACCCUGGAAUUUCAUCAACCAAACAAAAAGGACAACUACAGAAAAAGAAGUGUCCCCCAUGGGUCUUUUGACCCUCAUGUUUAUAUAGAUGCUAUCGGAGUUCCCCGAGGGGUGCCCAGUGAAUUUAAAGCCUGAAAUCAAAUUACCACAGGAUUUGAAUCUGUAUUAUUCUGGUGGUCAACUACAAACAAACAUGUAGACUGGAUAAAUUACAUUUACUAUAAUCGACAGCGGUUUGUCAAUUACACAAGCGAUGCCAUUAAAGGAAUAGCUGAGAAAUUAGGCCCCACCAGCCAAAUGGCUUGGGGAAACAGGAUAGCCCUUGACAUGUUAUUGGCUGAAAAAGGCAGAGUCUGUGUCAUGAUUGGAGUCCAAUGUUGCACUUUUAUCCCUAUUAACACAGCCCCUAAUGGAACAAUUACAAAAGCAUUACAGGGCCUUACAAGUGAAUUAGCUGAAAAUCCCGGAAUAAAUGGCCCCUUUUCAGGUCUUAUGGAAAAAUGGUUUGGAAAAUGGAAAUGACUCAUGACCUCAAUAUUUACUUCUCUUGCAGUUGUUACAGGUGUACUCAUUCUUGUAGGUUGCUGUAUUACACCUUCUGUUCAUGGGUUGGUGCAAAGGCUUACAGAAACAGCUCUUACUAAAACCUCCCUCAAUUCUUCCCCACCCUAUUCAGAUAAACUCCCACUUCUAGAUCACCAAGAGGAACAACAGAGCCAAAUUAUGUUUGAAAAAUUUGAAGAGGAAAAACUAUAAAGAGGGGGGAUAUUGCCAGAAACAAUAAGUUCCUCUUCAAACUUCGUUGUUCUUUCUGGUUCUGUAAACAACCCUUCCCACCUAAUUGGUAACAGGAACAGCCUCUCCCUUCCUGCCUAAUAGGCCCUAUUCAAUUUCAAACAAUAGCCAAUCGGGUUUAGAUUGUGUGGUCCAACUCUAGUUACUGGGGAAAGGACACAGAAACAUGAGCUGCAUUAGGGGUAAAAACCCCUGCCCUAGCCCCCUUGGUGUGCUCUUGCAAUUGCUUCAGAUGCAAGUAGCACCCUUCUGCAGAAGUAAAGUUGUCUUGCUGAGGAAUUUUCAGUCUAAGUGCUAGUUCUUCUUUGUGGCACCCAACACCUGUUCCCAACAAUGAGAAUAUCAACAAAUAGAAAAUAUAACAAAGAACCAAACAGAAAUGAAGAUAAAGAUACAAUAAUGAAAAUUAAAAAUUCACUGGAAGUGUUUGACAUAUUAUUUGAUUCCAUUCUUCCUAAAUAUGAUUUCAAUCUUCUUAAAUGUAUUCAGUCCUGUUUUGUGACCUAUCCUGGAAAUAUGUGAUGUGAUCUAUCCUGGAGAAUGUUCUGUGUGCACUUGAGAAGAUUACAUAUUUUUCUUUUGUUAAUUGAAAAAUUCUGUAUAUGGCUAUUACAUCAAUUUAAAGUCCACUAUUUUGUUAUUGAUUUUCUAUCUGGAUUUUCUAUUUUUUAUUGAAAGUGGGGUACUGAAUUAUUCUACCAUUACACUAUUGCUGUCCAUUUCUCCUUUCAGAUAUUUUGAUAUUUGUUCUAUAUACUUAGGUAGUCUAAUAGUA
ensembl:lncRNA novel transcript